UGGCCAAUAGCUUAAAGGUAGAGUAAUGGACUUUGACUCCAUUUGUGGCGGUUCGAUUCCGCCUUGGCUAG
rnacentral:tRNA from 1 species